GCCGGGCAUGGUGGCGCAUACCUGUAGUCCCAGCUACUCAGAGGGCUGAGGCAGGAGGAUUGUUUGAGCCCAGGAAGUCAAGGCUGCAGUGAACAAAAAUCUUGCCACUGCACUCCAGCCUGGGUGAUAGAGCAAGACCCUGUCUCAA
rnacentral:sRNA from 1 species